CCGCCGCCCAAUGCUUGCCCAAAUCGAACCCUCUAGAGUCCAGACCCAUCCUCCUCCUCCUCCGCCGCCGCCACCGCAGCCGCCGACAAGAGCCCCUCUGUCCUCGACAGCGCCCUCCACCGCCGACCCCCUCCGCCGACCUGGUGACCCCCACUGAGAUCGAUGCCGCCGGUGCGUCGAGAUCGGCCUCGCCUCCGUCCACACGGAUCUGGUGUACGUGGUCAACGUCGUCUCGCUCCCUGCGGCACCACCCUAGGACAGGUCGACGGCGCCUGUGCGUUGAGGUCGACGUCGCCUUGAUCCCCAGCACGAGAUCCGGCGACGAACUCCGGGCCUCUUGUCUCAAGUUAGCCGUGCCACCCCACGCCAUCGCGCUGCUCUUCUCCGCGACCCUCCACGCGGACGAGCGCUAUCGGGCUCCCCACCAUGUCUCUUACCACACCGACGGCGACCGCGGUGCCUGCUCCCCACUACGCUAGUACAACAUGUUGCUCAGAUCUGUCAUGGUGAAACGCGAUGCAGAUUUUCCCUCCCUUCCACCGAAUUACUACUGGGCUCCAAGUCUUUCUCAUUGCUGCCUCUGUAUUUUGCUUCCAAAUUGUUGCAGGUGCUAUCAGUGAAAGGAUUGGGGACUGGUUCUAGCAGUGGUAGGUUUGUUCCAGGAAUUCAUAAUGCUCAUGAUUUGCCACACUCAUGGCACUUACUACUUAAAAUGUUUCUCCAUUUAAUCAAGCAAGAAUAGUUCUUCAAAACAUUUUAUCGUUUUAAUCUUCAGACAUCUUGGUAGGAAGCAGCAUGGAAUGUUUGCAGUUUUAGUUUAGAUUGUACAUAAAGGCCUCUAGAUAUGUUCUCUGUCAGUCAAAACUUCUAAAAUGAUCUAUGCACCAUGGCAGUGGAUACUUCUAAAUGACUGCAACAUGUUCUAGUAAGCCUUAUUAGUAUAGGACGUUCAAUAAUCUUUCGGUGCUAAACAAGUGGAUGCUACAACUUAAUACUAAAUCAGUAAAACACUUUAGGAGUACUACAUGGACAAAAAGGUAUUUGUAUUGUGCUGUUUAUCCCCAUUGGUUGAUCGAUGUGAGAUCAUCUAGUUCAACUGUCAUCACACACAUAUACUACUACAUGGAAGAAAACAACUAGCUAGAGAACUUGUUUACGCCUCCUUUCAUUUUGCUGCAAGACAGACUGAAAGUGGACCACUCUUCUAGAGUUUAAAUGGUACUCCCUCUGUCCCAUAAUGUAAGUAUUGUCAAAAAACGUCUUACAUUAUGAGACGGAGGUAGUAUAAUAUGUUGGUUUUCUACGGUUCCUUUAUCUCCAAUCUAGUUUUUACUCAAUAUAAGUUACUAUUUCAUAAGAAUAACAUGAAGCACUGAUUCUUAUAUGUUCCAUGUAUUAUGACAUGACAAGUAGUCACUAGCAGCUAAGCAAAGGCUACAACAUGCUCGGAGGAGAAGUUUGAAUGGAGGCAGGGAAUACACUUUUUUCUGUGAAUGCAGAGAAUACACUUUGUUUCCCAAAGAUACACUGGGUGAUCUACAAGCUUCUGAAGGUUUGGAUGAUCUACAAGUUAAGGCUUGGAUCACCUACAAGCCGUUGAAUGUUUGCAAGACCUACAAUUAAGUUGGGUGAUCUACAAGCUUCUGAAGGUUUGGAUGAUCUACAAGUUAAGGCUUGGAUCACCUACAAGCUGUUGAAUGUUUGCAAGACCUACAAUUAAGUUGGUGGAGUGGUUAUGUAAUGUACCUUGUUUGUUGAACCUGGUGACAUUGGCACGUGCUGCUCAUUUUGGUGGUUGUUUUGGCACAUAAGCCACUGUAUGCUCUUUUUGGUUGGGUGACGCACCUAGAAACAUAUGUACUCCUCCCUUUGUGGCACCACUUCAUUUUUUAUUGUGUGGCACACCUAGAAACAUAUAUGUGCUCCUUUUGUGGCACAACCUGUAUAUAUAUGGUUGUCAUGUUUCUUAAAUGAAGUUUAAGGUUUUUGAUGA